UUUUCCUGGGCUGUACAGAGACUCAUUACCCUUUAUCCUCUAAAGUCCUUUCUGUUUACUUAGUUCCUCAACCGCCUCGUCUCACUGUCUUCUUGUAGCAUAACUCUGUGGCUCUUCCUCUUUUAAUUGAGAAAGAAGCAAGACCUGGAGAGAAUAACAUGCUGAAUUGCACAGCCAGGACUUGACACAGCAGCCUCUGCUGUUUUCUGGAAGCUCUGAGAAGGUGGUUCCUACAGUUCACAUCACCCAACACAUUAUCACAAUAAUUUAUAGCCGGGAUACUCCUCCAUCUGACUGUGCUGCCUUAGUCCUCAGGUUUAUGCCCCAGCCCCAAACACAAUUCCAGGCACAAAAGAAGUGCUCAGUAAAUACCUGUGAAAUGAAAAA